CACAGCUGCUUGGAGACAGGUAAGUCUGGGUUCAUUGUGAUGUGCUGGUCCAUUGCUUGUGACAUCAGUACUAUUUGGAACGCUGUUGGAGAAGGAGUGGGCCAGAACAGGAGAUGCCUCUCAGUGUGAAAGCAUCUGCUGCUUGGGUGUCUUGGUAAAAUGCAGCUGGUCUGUCCUCAGGUUUCAGAGGCGUGUGACCUUGGCGGUGACACAGGGUCCCGUACUCAAAAGACCCCCACAAGCUCCAUAGCUGGUCAUGCUUUAUCCUUGUAUGAUUCUGCAUGAAAUUUUACACAGCUCUGAGUCCAGGGUUGAUUUGAAGCUGUGUUCUCUCUUUACUUGAGAAUAUAUGACAGGAGACACGAGUUCAACGCCUGGUCCUGGAAGAUCCCCAUGUCGCAGAGCAGCUGAGGCCGUGCUCCACAGCUGCUGAGUCGGGGCUCCAGAGCCGCGACUUGCAACUCUCGAGACCGUGCGCAGUAGCUACUGAAGCCCCGGUGCUCUAGAGACUGCGCUCUGCGAUGCCCACCCCAACUCGAGAAAGCCCAUGCGCAGCAGCAAAGAGCUCAGCCGAAAAUAAAUAACCAGAAAACAAAUAAACCUAUA